AUGGGUUAUCAAGCUAUUCACCAUCUACUACACACAGAAAAGAUUUUGAGAGGAAUCUUGAAGAUGAAGAAUGAAGAACCGGUUAUGGAGAGAGAAUUGAAGAUGAUUUCAGAGAGAGAGCAAAGAGAAAUUAAAGUUUUGAUGAUGGUGAUUCUUCUGAAGAAUGAAGAUGAAGAAGGAUUUUAUAGGUUUUUGGAGUUUGUUACAGGUUGUGAAAAUAUCAUAGUCUUGUGA